rnacentral:rRNA from 1 species
AUUGAACGCUGGCGGCAUGCCUUACACAUGCAAGUCGAACGGCAGCACGGGUGCUUGCCCCUGGUGGCGAGUGGCGAACGGGUGAGUAAUACAUCGGAACAUGUCCUGUAGUGGGGGAUAGCCCGGCGAAAGCCGGAUUAAUACCGCAUACGAUCUACGGAUGAAAGCGGGGGACCUUCGGGCCUCGCGCUAUAGGGUUGGCCGAUGGCUGAUUAGCUAGUUGGUGGGGUAAAGGCCUACCAAGGCGACGAUCAGUAGCUGGUCUGAGAGGACGACCAGCCACACUGGGACUGAGACACGGCCCAGACUCCUACGGGAGGCAGCAGUGGGGAAUUUUGGACAAUGGGCGAAAGCCUGAUCCAGCAAUGCCGCGUGUGUGAAGAAGGCCUUCGGGUUGUAAAGCACUUUUGUCCGGAAAGAAAUACUUGGCCCUAAUACGGUCGGGGGAUGACGGUACCGGAAGAAUAAGCACCGGCUAACUACGUG